UUAUUUUUGUGGCCGUCAGGGCCAUACUGUGAGAGAGUGUCCGUAUAAGGGUAAUUUGGGAGGUGCAGCGCAGCCUACCGGAUCAGUCGCUGGGUCAUCGUCUCCUUCGAUAGCCAUGCGCCCUGCGGGGCAGGGUACGUCGACAUCAGCAGGCCGCGGCAGAGGUAGUGGCGGGGCUCCCAGUUCAAGCGGUCCUUCGAACCGCAUCUAUGCCUUGACUAGUCGACAGGACCCGGAGGCGCUACCAAACGCGGAUACAGAUUUUGGGCGAAACGGGAAUUGAAUUUGGAAAGGCGUAAAGAGCAUAUAAGGUACCGACGACAGGUUUGCUGAUCCGUCCGCUUAGGAUCUUAUUCUGCUAUUUUGGAGCGCUCCUUUAUCCGGAGCCUAUAUUUUGGUACAAUCUUCUGCUAUUGUAUAUAUGUACGCUAUUCAGGGGUACGACGGGGCCCUGUCCCAUCUUAUGAUUCUGUUAUGUUCUGUAGAGGUCUGUAGACAUACUUGUGUGGGUUCUGUAUAUGUUUUGGGUUGUUAUGAUCGGUGAUGGCCUUAUCGGCCUCUACGUGCAAAAUCUGUUCAUCUGUGAUAUUUAGUAGCGCCAACUAACCUUUAUAUUAAUAUAUUUUGAUAA